rnacentral:rRNA from 1 species
UACGUAGGGUGCGAGCGUUGUCCGGAAUUAUUGGGCGUAAAGAGCUCGUAGGCGGUCUGUCGCGUCGGUCGUGAAAACUUGGGGCUUAACCCCGAGCUUGCGGUCGAUACGGGCAUGACUGGAGUUCGGCAGGGGAGACUGGAAUUCCACGUGUAGCGGUGAAAUGCGUAGAGAUGUGGAGGAACACCAAUGGCGAAGGCAGCCUCCUGGGCCAACACUGACACUCAUGCACGAAAGCGUGGGGAGCAAACAGG